CAGCAGCCACGGUAAUACGGAGGGGGCUAGCGUUGUUCGGAAUUACUGGACGUAAAGCGCACGUAGGCGGCUUGGUAAGUUAGAGGUGAAAGCCUGGAGCUCAACUCCAGAAUUGCCUUUAAGACUGCCGAGCUAGCAGGUGAGAGAGGUAAGUGGAAUUCCGAGUGUAGAGGUGAAAUUCGUAGAUAUUCGGAAGAACACCAGUGGCGAAGGCGGCUUACUGGCUCAUACUGGACGCUGAGGUGCGAAAGCGUGGGGAGCAAACGGGAUUAGAUACCCGGGUAGUCCCUGUCUCUUAUAC
rnacentral:rRNA from 1 species